GGGGAUAAAGCUCAAUGGAAAAGUACGUGCUUUGUAAGCACGAAGACCUGGGUUUGAUCCCCAACACUCACA
rnacentral:tRNA from 1 species